UACGUAGGGGGCAAGCGUUGUCCGGAAUCAUUGGGCGUAAAGAGCGUGUAGGCGGCCUGGUAAGUCCGCUGUGAAAGUCCAGGGCUCAACCCUGGAAUGCCGGUGGAAACUGUCAGGCUCGAGUCCGGAAGAGGCGAGUGGAAUUCCUGGUGUAGCGGUGAAAUGCGCAGAUAUCGGGAAGAACACCCGUGGCGAAGGCGGUUCUCUGGGACGGUACUGACGCUGAGACGCGAAAGCGUGGGGAGCGAACAGG
rnacentral:rRNA from 1 species